CUUGAAACGUGAUGCUGACUGAAAGAAGCCAGUCACAAAGGACCACAUACUGUAUGAUCCCAUUUAUAUGAAAUGUCCAGAGCAGGCAAAUCUGUAGUGGCAGAAAGUAGAUUAGGGGUUGCCAGAGGCUGAGCGCAUAAGGUAUGAGUGGAUGGCGAAGUCUAAGGGGUGUGGGGUUUCUUUGGGAUAGUAAAAAUGCUCUAAAAUUCAUUGAUGGUUGCACGACUCUGUGAUCAUACGAAAAGCCUUUGAAUUGUAAACUUUAACUGCGUGAACUAUACCUCAAGUGUGUUAAAAAAUAAUGAAGGACAAAACUCAGACUUCAUCUUUAGACAGGAACUUACUCUCACUGUAACAAGUGCGCAAAACCCGCUUCUGAACGGGCACAAUUUUAAGCCCGUUUCUGAAGUUUUCAGGAGACUUACGUUUUCUCCCACCUGGGGAUGUGUGCGUCCCAGCUGGGCCUUCUGUUACGCGGUGUCGUCUUCACCUUGGGCUACGGUGAUUCUUCAAAGGUUUGCGGCAGAAAUGCCAUUUCGAAAGAAUGGUCCAGAUUUUUCUGUCCCAUAAAAUCACAGCCAUGUUGUUUUAAAGACGUUUAUGUUCUGCCUGACAAGGAAUGUGAUUUUUAUUCCAUUUCCAUCCCCUCUGCGAUAGGAACGCCCUUCAUGCUUCACUGUUUCCCUCUGUAGGUACAAAUCUUCCAGCUGUGUGAACCGCUUCCUGCCCACCUUGGCCUUCUCUGUGGCCUUCUCAGGAAGACUGCCUGAUUCUGAGGGUGCCUUAAGGAAGCGUAAAGAGAGAUUGCACAACGCUGUUUGCAUCUGUAAUUAGGUCUGAGUCUGUUUAGAAAUUGUGAUAUUUUAGAAAAGCCCCUUUUCUGAAUAUGUUUCUGAGACUCAAACAGUGGGGACUUGAGCGCAGCUUGAAAGAGAAUGACUCAGGGCAGCUUUCCUGACACCUCCCCCCUUCUUUGCUGGCUGCAUCUUGCACCCAUCGGCAGAGCAGGGCGAGCAGCCGCUUCCGAUGCUGCUGCGGUGUCGAUGCUCCAGGCGGCUCCAGGCGAGCAGAUGCUCCUCGACGUUGACACACCAUCACUCUGUCCUUGGACAAAGACUCGGCGAGACUCUGGGUCCUCGGGACAAAGCCCGGCCCCUCCCAGCAGGGUUGACCGAAGAUCCUUGGAGACAAGAGCAGGUGGACACACGGCGUGGCGCAGGCCUUCUGGGAGGAUUCUGGAGACCGCAUAGGAUCCUCGCAAGUUGCAAGAUGGGGAUUCAGCCUCAGGUUUUCUGUCCCUAAGCCGGCAUCUCACACCGUCGCCUCUGGAACAGGCAGCCAGCGUGGCCCUGCAGAGAGCGCGUCGCCGAGCAGUCAGGCACCACUGAGGUGGGGCAGCCUUGUCAGCCAGCAGAACAGACGCUCCCAGCUGGAGCUGAGACCCUCCCAGUCCGUCUCGGGAGGCGAGAGGAGGAGGACCACCGAAAGGCCACACGAGGGCCCGUGGCGCGGCUGGGGUCACAGGUGGGACCCUGUCAGCCAGGUCCCAUCUGGCCCCACAUCCUGGUCGUAAACGCUCCCCGACUCCAACCAGCCCCUCCCUCUUCUCAACACUCAGGGCUUUAGAAAGGCAGCAGAGGUUGUGCAGAUGGACUAAACCCACUCUGCACACAGGCUGUGGAGACAGAGUGAGCAGGUGAUGGAAACAGAGCCCUCUGUGCACAACCACCUGUUAUGGGGCAGAUGGAAGGGGCCGGGACCCGGGGAAGAUCCCCUCCCGGGAGCAGCUCUCCAGGGUGAGGAGGGGCCCUCUCAGCCUCUUGUUUUCCGUCACAUCUGCCUCUGGGACCCUGGUUUCCCAGUGCCACGCUGACCGUGACUCGUCUCCACCGUCCUGCUCUUGGUGACCACAGCAGUGUCAGCAGUCCUGCUGCUCUGGACCCCACGGGGCUGUUGAGAAAGCUCAGGGGCAGGAGGGGCCUGGCGGAGGCACUGUGUGCUCAGAGAGAGGCAGGGGGACGGAUGUGGGCCUGGACUGUGCGGCAGGUGAGGGGCAGGCGGGACGGGGACAGACGCUGAGGUGCGUGACCAGGAGGGAAGCUCAGGGGCUUUCAGCCCCCUACACUCUUCCCUCGGAAGCCGUGCGCCCAGCCUGGGAGAGCCGGCGAGGAGUACUCGUGACUCCAACCCUCCAGCCUCCUCCCCGCCACCCAUGCUGCAGGGAGGGGAGGAGACAACAGGGAGGGGCUCUGUCCUCGUGGGAAAAUACGCAUAAAAUUUACCAUUUCUCAGUGUACGGUUCAGCGGCCUUAAGUACCCUCCACUGUUAUAUACCGUCAGCCCCCUCCAUCUCCAGAACUUUCUCAUUAAACAUUCACUCCCCAGCACCCCCUUCUACUCCUGUCUCCAUGGAUGCGACUCCUCUAGGUCCCUCAGAUAAGAGGGAUCUACAGUAUUUGUCCUUUUGUGACCAGCUUAUUUCACUUAACAUAUCUCCUCAAGGUUCCCCUUGUAGCAUGUGUCAGAAUUUUCUUCCUUUUCAGGGCUGAAUCAUAUUCCAUUGUGCAGACAGGCCACAUUUUGUCAUCCACUCAUCCGUCGAAGGACUCUGGGUUCCUUCUUCCAGGGAGGGCACGGAGUGCCGGGCCAGAGUCAGGAGCCCGAACGUGGAUACCAUGCCCCCCAACUUCUGAGCCCCCCGAGCUCUGAUGCUCCCACUGGGAAAUGACAGGACUAUGGUAAAACAGGCCGACACACUCGGAGUUCUGUACGUUCUUCCAAGGUCCCCCAAUCUCCACCCUGGUGAUUAUGCUUAUAGAAACUUACUGAAGAAGGGGAGGAGGUGCAGAGAGAGGAGCGACCUCGCUGGGCGAGCACCAGAAACGCCUGCACCCUUUACAUGGGGAAGACCACACCAAAAUUUACACGAAGG
rnacentral:lncRNA from 1 species